ACGGCAUGAUGGGGACAUUUUCUGAUGAGAUCCUUUAAUCUCUCCCAUGACUCAUGGAACUGCUCGCCAUCUUGUUGCAAAAAGUUAGUAAGAGCUCGUCUUAUCU
rnacentral:snoRNA from 1 species